rnacentral:pre_miRNA from 1 species
AGAGGGAUAGCUGGGUCAAAUGGCAGUUCCUUUUCCAGAUUUCCAAGGAAUCUUUAUACUGCUUUCCAUAUUGGCUGCACCAAUUUGCAGUCCCACCAGCAAU